GACGAACGCUGGCGGCGUGCCUAAUACAUGCAAGUCGAGCGCUUGCACCCGGUGGUCCUCUUCGGUGGAAGAGCGGGGAAUGGAGCGGUGGCCGGGUGAGUAACACGUUUGCAACCUGGCCUCCAGACGGGAAUAGCAUGCGGAUACCGGAUCUAAUCCCCAAUCAUCAAGCCGAUGUUCUGAUCGUCCUGUAGCAGCACUGUCUUCGGACCAUGCACUGGAUGAUCGGGCCGCGGUGUAUUAGCUAGUUGGAGAGGUAAAGGCACAGCAAGGCGACGAUACAUAGCCGACCUGAGAGGGUGAUCGGCCACACUGGGACUGAGACACGGCCCAGACUCCUACGGGAGGCAGCAGUAGGGAAUCGUCCGCAAUGGACGAAAGUCUGACCGAGCAACGCCGCGUGAGUGAUGAAGGUUUUCGGAUCGUAAAACUCUGUUGGUAGAGAAGAACGAGGGCGGGAGUAGAAGGCUCGUCAAGUGACGGUAACUAACCAGAAAGCGACGGCUAACUACGUG
rnacentral:rRNA from 1 species